rnacentral:rRNA from 1 species
UACGUAGGUGACAAGCGUUGUCCGGAAUUACUGGGCGUAAAGCGUGUGUAGGCGGCCUUAUAAGUCGGAUGUGAAAGCCCAGGGCUCAACCCCAGGCGUGCACCCGAUACUCCCGGGCUGGAGGCAGGUAGGGGAGAUCGGAAUUCCUGGUGUAGCGGUGAAAUGCGCAGAUAUCAGGAGGAACACCGGUGGCGAAGGCGGUUCUCUGGGCAUGACCUGACGCUGAGGAGCGAAAGUGUGGGGAGCGAACAGG